CCUACGGGUGGCUGCAGUGGGGAAUAUUGCACAAUGGGGGAAACCCUGAUGCAGCGACGCCGCGUGAGUGAAGAAGUAAUUCGUUACGUAAAGCUCUAUCAGCAGGGAAGAAAAUGACGGUACCUGAGUAAGAAGCCCCGGCUAACUACGUGCCAGCAGCCGCGGUAAUACGUAGGGGGCAAGCGUUAUCCGGAUUUACUGGGUGUAAAGGGAGCGUAGACGGUGCGCCAAGUCUGGAGUGAAAUGCCGCAGUUUAACUCCGGACCUGCAGUGGAAACUGGCGUGCUAGAGGGCGGGGGGGGAAGGCGGAAUUCGUAGGGUAGCGGUGUAAUGGUGAGAUAUGAGGAAGAACCCCGAGUGCGAAGGCAGCUUGCUGCAGCGGAACUGACGCUGAGGCUCGAAAGCGCGGGGAUCGAACAGGAUUAGAUACCCUUGUAGUC
rnacentral:rRNA from 1 species